CAGCAGCCGCGGGAAUACGAAGGGUGCAAGCGUUAAUCGGAAUUACUGGGCGUAAAGCGUGCGUAGGCGGUUUGUUAAGUCUGCUGUGAAAUCCCCGGGCUCAACCUGGGAAUGGCAGUGGAUACUGGCAAGCUAGAGUGUGUCAGAGGAUGGUGGAAUUCCCGGUGUAGCGGUGAAAUGCGUAGAGAUCGGGAGGAACAUCAGUGGCGAAGGCGGCCACCUGGGACAACACUGACGCUGAGGCACGAAAGCGUGGGGAGCAAACAGGAUUAGAUACCCCCGUAGUCCCUGUCUCUUAUAC
rnacentral:rRNA from 1 species